rnacentral:lncRNA from 1 species
UUUGGAGAUGGAGCGGGCCGGGGCGGGGCACGCUGCCGGCGGGGAGCCGGCCCGGGAAAAGCCUUUUAUGGACAGGACCCUGCCCGGACUUACGGCUGCUCCUACUUCACUGUUCUCUGGCCCCGAGUUUGAGAAGAGGGGGAGUUCAAUAGAGUCUGGCUGGAGAGAGGGGCAAGGGGCUGGGGAGCCGGGAAUCCCAGGGGUUUGUGGGGACAAACCAGCCACCCUCUCCUCCUGGGGCUUUUAGCUCUGAUGGGACAUGGGAUCCAACCUUUCCUGAGGACCUACUCCACACCAGGCCCUUUGCAGUGCUCUCAUUGAAUACUCACAGCUACAGUGUGAGGGUGUAAUUACAUCCCCAUUUUAUAGAUGAGGAAACUGAGGCCCCGAGUGCGUCUUCCUCAAGGCCACAUGGUGAAUGGAACAGUCCCUACCAGCCUGGAAAACAGACCAGCCUCUGUCACUCCAGAGAUAACCCACUCUCAUCUUGCUCGUACCUGGCUUCAGGGAUCUUGGGGAGAGAUAAGAGGUUAAAAAAGGGACAUAUCAAAACUCCCUCCUCUUGGAGCCUGCCCAGCUUUCAUCACCCUCCUGCCUCGGCCUGCACGCUGAGCGGAUUAUAAACGCCGCAUCAGGGAGCACUGCUUGGGCCUGUGGCUUGGUGAGCUGGGGGCCGCUCAGGUCAGAGGUGAAGUGAGCCUCAGUCUGGUGGGCGGGGCCAGGUGGGCAGAGACUGCUGUUCCUGGGGAGGUAAGGAGGGAUGUCUGCAGUGGGAUGGCGUGGGAAAGGCUUUUCCAGGAACUGGCCUCUGUCCAGCACAGUGCCCCGGUAAAUGUUUACUGAAUUAAUGCUGUUGCUGGAGGGACAGGAAAAACGGGAGAAUCAAGAAAACGGAAAUGCAACCAUAGCAUGGAGACGCUCUGAGAAAAGAUCCAGACCCACCUCAUCUCCCA